GACGAACGCUGGCGGCGUGCUUAACACAUGCAAGUCGAACGGUGAAGGGACCGGUUUUUGCUGGUUCUGGAUGAGUGGCGAACGGGUGAGUAACACGUGAGUAACCUGCCCCCUUCUUCUGGAUAACCGCAUGAAAGUGUGGCUAAUACGGGAUAUUCUGCGCCUGCUGCAUGGUGGGUGUGGGAAAGAUAUUGUUUCGGUGGGGGAUGGGCUCGCGGCCGAUCAGCUUGUUGGUGGGGUGAUGGCCUACCAAGGCGGUGACGGGUAGCCGGCCUGAGAGGGUGGACUGGCACACUGGGGCUGAGACACGGCCCAGACUCCUACGGGAGACAGCAGUGGGGAAUAUUGCACGAUGGGCUCAAGCCUGAUGCAGCGUCGCCGCGUGAGUGAUGGAGGCCUGCGGGUUGUAAACCUCUUUCGCCAGUGAAGCAGGCCUGUCCCUUUUGUGAGUGGGUUGACGGUAGCUGGAGAAGAAGCGCCGGCUAACUACGUG
rnacentral:rRNA from 1 species